rnacentral:rRNA from 1 species
GAUGAACGCUAGCUACAGGCUUAACACAUGCAAGUCGCGGGGCAGCAUGGGGGUUGCUUGCAAUCCCCGAUGGCGACCGGCGCACGGGUGAGUAACGCGUAUCCAACCUGCCCUUCACCACGGGAUAACCCGGCGAAAGUCGGACUAAUACCGUAUGUUGUCCAUUGACGGCAUCCGAUUUGGACGAAAGGUUUGGCGGUGAAGGAUGGGGAUGCGUCCGAUUAGCUGGACGGCGGGGUGACGGCCCACCGUGGCGACGAUCGGUAGGGGUUCUGAGAGGAAGGUCCCCCACACUGGAGCUGAGACACGGUCCAGACUCCUACGGGAGGCAGCAGUGAGGAAUAUUAGUCGAUGGGCGUAAGCCUGAACCAGCCAAGUAGCGUGCAGGAUGACGGCCCUAUGGGUUGUAAACUGCUUUUAUGCGGGGAUAAAGUGGCCCACGUGUGGGUUUUUGCAGGUACCGCAUGAAUAAGGACCGGCUAAUUCCGUG